CCUACGUGAGGCAGCAGUGAGGAAUAUUGGUCAAUGGGCGCGAGCCUGAACCAGCCAAGUAGCGUGAAGGAUGACUGCCCUACGGGUUGUAAACUUCUUUUAUAAAGGACUAAAGUGAGGCACGUGUGCCUUUUUGUAUGUACUUUAUGAAUAAGGAUCGGCUAACUCCGUGCCAGCAGCCGCGGUAAUACGGAGGAUCCGAGCGUUAUCCGGUUUUAUUGGGUUUAAAGGGAGCGUAGUUGGGUUGUUAAGUCAGUUGGGAAAGUUUGCGGCUCAACCGUAAAAUUGCAAUUGAUACUGGCAGUCGUGAGUACAGUUGAGGUAAGCGGAAUUCGUGGUGUAGCGGUGAAAUGCUUAGAUAUCACGAAGAACCCCGAUUGCGAAGGCAGCUUACUAAACUGUGACUGACAUUGAUGCUCGAAAGUGUGGGUAUCAAACAGGAUUAGAUACCCCAGUAGUC
rnacentral:rRNA from 1 species